rnacentral:lncRNA from 1 species
UAUAUUAUAGUGCACAGUGGGAAAUGACAUAUAUAAAAUAUCAAACUAGGUUACUUUCAUUAUCAGCUUGUUCAAUUUAUGUCAAGGUUAUAUAUUGAUUUGCCUGAUACAACUUGAUUUGGUCUCAAGUUUUAUUGCUAAGACUGCAAUGACGGUCUUCAAACAAUGGGAAUUGUAAUGUAUGGACAAGUGCAGGCGUCGGUUAAACAGCUCUAUUGUUGUCCACGUGACAAAAACAUGGAUGUUACAUUCGAUAUCUCUACAUAAAAGCUAAACACGAGUCUCUAGCAGAAGAUGGGAUGUAUUUAACAAAGAGUCGUUGUCUGACAGUAACACAUGCCUAUAUCUGAUCUUAGUGAAUAGUUAAACGAAACAUCGGCGUUAUUGGGCUGUUUUAUAAAUAAUACAAAUAAUUGCUUGUUAAUUUACAAUUUAUACCAUAUAAUGGCAUAUUCAUUUAUCAGAAAUUAUUUUAAUCAAAUUUUGCUUGAAAUGGCACAGCUAUGCGCAGCUCCCCCCAAUUUUAUUGGCGGUUGACGGUUCUGUGAAAAUUUUAACUGUAGGCUAAAAUUGUCGCAGCACCGCCAAUUUGGCAGAUUUCGCUGCGCUUAGAUAACAUAUUUGCAGUUUACAGACUUAUUGUAAUCGUAUGAUAGCAUUAGCCUCUGAUUUCCAGGGUUAAUAGCUUAUCUUGAACUUCCCCUUUUCAUAUAUGGUCUGCCACCUCAAACAUAUUCGGCGAUCAUCAUAUAACAUUUUCAAAGACACAUAUGCAUUUUUAUCAGUUAAUUUUAGUUCAUAGAUCUACAUGUAUCACAAAUUGCAUUUCAUAUAAU